AUUGAACGCUGGCGGCAUGCUUUACACAUGCAAGUCGAACGGUAACAGGCCGCAAGGUGCUGACGAGUGGCGAACGGGUGAGUAAUGCAUCGGAACGUGCCCAGUCGUUGGGGAUAACUACUCGAAAGAGUAGCUAAUACCGCAUACGAUCUAUGGAUGAAAGCGGGGGACCGUAAUGCCUCGCGCGAUUGGAGCGGCCGAUGUCAGAUUAGUUAGUUGGUGGGGUAAAGGCUCACCAAGCCAACGAUCUGUAGCUGGUCUGAGAGGACGACCAGCCACACUGGGACUGAGACACGGCCCAGACUCCUACGGGAGGCAGCAGUGGGGAAUUUUGGACAAUGGGCGCAAGCCUGAUCCAGCAAUGCCGCGUGCAGGAAGAAGGCCUUCGGGUUGUAAACUGCUUUUGUACGGAACGAAACGGCUCUGGUUAAUACCCGGGGCUAAUGACGGUACCGUAAGAAUAAGCACCGGCUAACUACGUG
rnacentral:rRNA from 1 species